CACUUGUAUACAGUGAAUACAAGUCUCUGGAAAAAGUCUCUGGAACUGACACAAAGCUUAUUGUUUCUGAUAAAGCAAAUUCUCCACCAGCAAGCUCUGAAAUCCUGCAGAAGACACAUGGAAGUCAAAUAACGUAUGUUUGCCUUAUUGAGAAAUUCUACCCCAACGUUAUUCGGGUGACAUGGACUGAUGGAGAAAAUAAGGAGGUAACAGACAACGUAGUAAAAGGAGACAUUUGGAAAUCCACAGAAGAGGAGAAAUACUCAGUUGGUAGCUGGUUAACUGUACCAGUGGAGAACAAAAACAAGAACUAUUUCUGCAAUUAUGAGCAUGAAAGCCAACAGCACUCACUGCUGACACAAGAUUCUACAAAGACUCUUCAGGAAGGGGACUGCAGCACAUAUCCUGGAAACCGUACAGUGUUUAAUAAAGAUCACUUAAUGCACAGGACAGCAUAUUUAGUGUAUGUUGCCCUUCUUCUGAAAAGCUCCAUGUACUAUCUCAUCGUACUCGUCUUCAUCUACAGAAUGUGGGCUCCAAUGAAGCACCAAGGAAAGAAAGCAUAA